AUGGCCGCCGCCGCCAAGCAGCCGCCGUUGUACAUUGCCGUCGCCGACGACCGCCGGGGGAGCAGCGGCUUCCGGUACACGCGCCCCGUCCUGCAGAGCGCGCUCCAGCUCAUGGGCUGCAAGCCACGCCACGCCUUCAAGAUCAGCAAGAGAGUGUUCGAUGUGACCAGGAGCGACUUCGUAGACUCGUCGAAACUGAAUGGAUCCACACAGGAGGAUGGCAUGAAAGUCACCGAGCUCCUGGAUGCAGAAAACAUGACCAACAUACCGUUUGAGCUGUACAAGACCCAGACCACUGCUGUUGUUUCCAGGGAGGAGUUCCUGGAUGUCGUGUGCGACGCCCUCACCUUGUACAAGUAUGUCGGGCCCAAUCAGAGAGCCGACCUGCUCCUUGCCUGCAGGAUAAAGGAGAGGAAAGAAUCAGUGACAGUACUGCUGUGUGGCACAAGUGGAUGCGGCAAGUCCACUCUAUCAUCCUUGCUGGGUAACAGGUUGGGUAUCACAACCGUGGUUUCUACCGAUUCUAUAAGGCACAUGAUGAGGAGUUUCAUAGAAGAGAGAGAAAACCCUCUGCUCUACGCGUCAACCUACCACGCUGGAGAUUAUCUAGACCCCGUUGCGGUUGCCCAAGCUAAGGCAAAAAGCAAGGCCAAGAAACUCACUGUUAUUUCCCAUUCAAAUGCUGAUGCAGACAAAGAUGCUGGCACUUCAUCAGAUGAGAAGUGCCAUAAUGGCACAUCCUCCUCGGACUCGCCUCCUAGUAGAACUGAAGUUCCCAGCAAAAAGCAGAUGGCGAUAGAAGGAUACAAGGCACAGAGUGAGAUGAUCAUUGGCAGCCUUGACAGAUUAAUUACGACCUGGGAGGAGCGGAAAGAAUCUUUAAUUGUAGAAGGGGUUCAUUUAAGCCUGAAUUUUGUGAUGGGGCUGAUGAAGAAACAUCCCUCUGUGAUACCAUUUAUGGUAUACAUUACGAACGAGGAGAAGCACUUGGAACGGUUUGCAGUCCGUGCAAAGUACAUGACGCUUGAUCCAGCAAAGAACAGGUACGUCAAAUACAUCCAGAACAUCAGAGCUAUCCAGGAGUACCUCUGCAACCGGGCCGACAAGCACCGAGUGCCGAAGAUCAACAACACCAACGUAGACCGGAGCGUGGCUGCCAUACACGCCACGGUUUUUAGCUGCCUUCGCCGGAGGGAGGCGGGGGAGCAGUUUUAUGACCCACAUGCAAACACUGCAGCUAUAGUGGAUGAAGAGUACAGGAACCAGUGCGCCGCAAACUCGUUGAGCUCCAAAGGAAUGUUUCAGCUGAUUCAGAGGAAGGGGUCUUCUAGGAAUCUGAUGGCGCUGCUUAACACCGAUGGUUCCGUUGCUAAGGCGUGGCCUGUCGAUGCUGGCGACAGCAGUGGAAACGUAAAUGAUGGCACGGGCAGUGAGAAGUCUGUUGGAAGUCCUAUGUAUGGCCCGCUGCAAAUUGGGAAAGCGGAGCCUGUCAAUCUUCAGUUUGGCUCUUUUGGGAUUAGUGCGUGGCCAAGUGACACCGGAUGCACCAGUCAUGCAGGGAGUGCUGAUGACUCCAAGGCUGAUGGCACAGAUACAGGGAGUAGGUAUUUAUCCUCGUGUUGCAGCACACCAAAGAUGUCAGAUGAUAAUUCCAAAGAGAUACAGCUUGUGGAUGAGUAUUCAGUGUUCGACAGCGAAGAAGAAGCAGAGGAAGUCGAUGUUGGUGAUGCAGAGACUGAUGACGAUGAUCUAACUGACGAAGAAAAGGAAAUUCAGAAGCAGAUGGAGGAAGCAGGGUCGGUGGACGAGGAGUCGACCAAGUCGGACGAGGAGUACCUAGACCUGGCCAUGAGAGAAAAUGGCUACUGGUCGGACGACGAGCAGCAGACCACCCUGAUGAAGCAGCCCCUGGCCCCGGGCGCAGGAGGCGGUGAAGAUGAUGAUCACAAUGUCAUGAAGAAGGCUGACAACAACCUGAACCAGCUGCUGGAGAUGGGAAAUGGCGGCGGCGCAGAGAUGCCAUGCACCCACCCUCUGACAAUGAACGGCGGGAACCGUGGCUGCGACGCCAAGGUGAGGCGACGAUGCGCACUCGGCCCAGAAGGGCUGUUUUAG
rnacentral:rRNA from 1 species